UGUUCCUUACAAGGUGCUGACCAAGUGUUGUUACUUUGUAGCUGUUCCAUCAUCCAAAAUGGCCGCCAGUGAAGGACUUAGUUUAACAUAGGACCCUACGGGAAAUGCAUACAAAUGACUUCUUUUAGAGAACCACUGAAUGGAAUGAAACAAAACAUAGCAUGAAUGUUCAUUAGGAGGUGCUGACCAAGUGUUGUUACUUUGUAGCCGAUCCAUCAUCCAAGAUGGCCGCCAGCGGGGGACUUAGUUUAACAUAGGACCCUAUGGGAAAUGCAUACAAAUGACUUCUUUUAGAGAACCACUGAAUGGAAUGUAACAAAACAUAGCAUGAAUGUUCCUUACAAGGUGCUGACCAAGUGUUGUUACUUUGUAGCUGUUCCAUCAUCCAAAAUGGCCGCCAGUGAGGGACUUAGUUUAACAUAGGACCCUAUGGGAAAUGCAUACAAAUGACUUCUUUUAGAGAACCACUGAAUGGAAUGAAACAAAACAUAGCAUGAAUGUUCAUUAGGAGGUGCUGACCAAGUGUUGUUACUUUGUAGCUGUUCCAUCAUCCAAAAUGGCCGCCAGUGAGGGACUUAGUUUAACAUAGGACCCUAUGGGAAAUGCAUACAAAUGACUUCUUUUAGAGAACCACUGAAUGGAAUGAAACAAAACAUAGCAUGAAUGUUCAUUAGGAGGUGCUGACCAAGUGUUGUUACUUUGUAGCUGAUCCAUCAUCCAAGAUGGCCGCCAGCGGAGGACUUAGUUUAACAUAGGACCUUAUGGGAAAUGCAUACAAAUGACUUCUUUUAGAGAACCACUGAAUGGAAUGAAACCAAACAUGGCAUGAAUGUUCCUUAUGAGGUGCUGACCAAGUGUUGUUACUUUGUAGCCGAUCCAUCAUCCAAGAUGGCCGCCAGCAGGGGACUUAGUUUAACAUAGGACCCUAUGGGAAAUGCAUACAAAUGACUUCUUUUAGAGAACCACUGAAUGGAAUGAAACCAAACAUGGCAUGAAUGUUCCUUAUGAGGUGCUGACCAAGUGUUGUUACUUUGUAGCCGAUCCAUCAUCCAAGAUGGCCGCCAGCGGAGGACUUAGUUUAACAUAGGACCUUAUGGGAAAUACAUAAAAAUGUCUUCUUUUAGAGAACCACUGAAUGGAAUUGAACCAAACAUGGCAUGAAUGUUCCUUAUGAGAUGCUGACCAAGUGUUGUUACUUUCCAGUUGGUCUAUCAUCCAAGAUGGCCGCCAGCAGGGGACUUAGUUUAACAUAGGACCCUAUGGGAAAUACAUACAAAUGCUUCUUUUAGAGAACCACUGAAUGGAAUGAAACCAAACAUGGCAUGAAUGUC